AGUACAAGGCUUCUGUGUUUUUGUUCUUCACAGUCAAGAGGAAUGAUUUAAUAAACAUCAGUGUAAAGUCCAGUAAGUGAGUGACAGAGCUCAACUCCAAACGGACAGCGAGGAAAGGAGAAGACAGACAAGAGAUAACAUUGGGCAUCCUGGCUACUCAGCUAUGGGGAAUAGUGGAAGCAGGGUAAACUCAACAGCAAUCGGGGUCGCUGUGGGCUUUGGCAUCCUGGCGAUCCUCUUUACCAUAGCCAUUGUACAAUUCUGCUGCAAGUACAAAUGCAAAAACUGCUGCAAGAAAAAGGAGCCGUCACUGAAAGACAAAGUGCUCACCAAAGUCGGGUUGAAGAAGUCUUCUCCCUUUUCCAUCAGCAGCAUCGUAAAAUAGCGGAUGAGGUGGUGGCAGUUUAAUCAUAAUGGAAGGCACACCCCUCGCCUGUCACUUUCCUGUGCACCACACAUCUUGUUUUGAGCACGUAUCAUGUUAUCUGUUCCUGUUUGUCUUUUGCUGCUAUUCUUUAUGUUGUUUUAUUUUAACCCGAGGAUGUAACUUAUCAUGUUCUUUUUGAAUGACUUUUAACUUUUUGUGUGAUGUAAUACAUUCAAACUGCGUCACUGCCUCUUGGCAAACUUAUCAGUCAGGCCUUUAAAAUAAAAAUGGCUUCUUUAUCUUGAAACAGAAAGAGAGGCAGUGUGUGCUAUUGUGUAUGCAAAAUUGUAUUAUUAGUUCAU